AGAACAAGGAGAAAAGAGGUCAGACUCGCUGGCCUGCGUUACAGGACGUCAAAAUCCGAUAUACCACCCGAAACCACACUACCUCUUGAAUGAGGGGAUGGUCUUCACUCUCUGCAUAAUGAUCGACAAGCUUUAUGACAUUGUAACAGAAGAUAACAAAAAAUAAAAUAAAAAAAUAUAAAUAAAAGAAAAAUAUGAAGAGGGAGCAAGGAGAACAAGUUUCAGGUAGGUAGGUGAGAUGAAGACAAAGGAAAGAACAACUGAAGGAAUAGCUGACAAUUUAUUACGAUUCUUCUGCUGUACACAGUAAACAUGAGAAGUAUUCUACUCUUUCCAUAGCGAGUUCUAUGCUAUCGAAUGUUCGCACUCUCUGCAUAAUGACCGACAAGCUUUGUGACAACGUUACUGCCUAACACACAAGUUAAGGAAAAGAAAAAAAAAAAAGGCAUGAAGUGGGAGCAAGAAGAAAAAGUUUCAAGAAUGUAGAUGAGAUGAAGAACAGACGAAAGAAAGAGCAACUGAAGGUAUAGGUGACAAUUUAUUACGAUUUUUCUUGUGCAGAACGUAGUAAACAUGAGAAGUAUUAUACUCAUUCCAUUGUGAGAUCUAUGUUUUCGAAUUUUCAAUUACUACCUUUGCAGUGCACAUUUGUGGUGAUUUAAUAGUCCUCUCAAGCUAAACAGUAAAAAUACUUAUAUAGGCUUAGAAUCAGCUUAAAAGUUAAGCAGAAAAGUAAAAAUGAAUGAAUUCAGCACUGAAGUUGUGGCUGAUCACCCAAAGAACAGCCAUGUUCAAAAGAACAAAUUUAGUGAUGUCAGACAUGAGACCCUCAUUGGAAAUCAGUUUUUUGGGGGGCAUCAUAGCAAAGAAGCAUAAACAGUGGUCAGAUGCGAAAGAUGUAUGUUCAAAUAAAGUCUGAAACGAAUAGCUAAAAUUAAACAGAAGGUGAAGAGUCUUCUGGCAAAAAUCUACUACAAAAACCAAUAACUUGGUACUACAUUUGCUAAGUCACGGAAUAAUAAUAAAUUUGAUAAUGAACGGCGCAGUAUUGGGUACUGAUUGUAAUGGGUAAUAAAGACUGUAAAGAUAAACGUAUGUAGAAGAUACGAAUAGGAGGCAGGGUUAUAAAAUUGUACCGACGUAGUAGAACAAAUAAUGACUAUAAGAACAAGAUUGCCUUAAGCUCGCGAAGACUGUAGAAGCUCUUCAGUGCUGACUGGUCUCGACGAACAAGAACGGUACAUGGUACAAUAAAUUAUAGUGAAACUUCUCUGCGUAUCAAUUACGAAAUUGCACAGCGAGAGACUGGUCCGAGUAUACCUGCCAGUCUUAUUUAGUCAUAGUUCAGUCUUGUUUACUCAGAACGACCUAA